rnacentral:rRNA from 1 species
UCAAGCGUAUACGGGCACACGAUGGAUGCCUUGGCACCAGCAGGCGAUGAAGGACGUGGCUUGCUGCGAUAAGCCCCGGGGAGCCGCGAGCAGGCAUUGAUCCGGGGAUUUCCGAAUGGGGAAACCCGGUGGGCGUCCGGCCCACCACCAUGCGCUGAACACAUAGGCGCAUGGGGCGAUACCGGGGGAAGUGAAACAUCUCAGUACCCCGAGGAAGAGAAAUCAAGACGAGAUUCCGUGAGUAGUGGCGAGCGAAACCGGAAGAGGCCAAACCGCGGGGCUUGCCCCGCGGGGUUGCGGGAGCGCCGCAUGGCAUCGUUUCUGCAUAGCCGAACGGUCUGGAAAGUCCGGCCACAGGGGGUGAAAGCCCCGUAGGCGAAAUGCAGGAGCGGCCUGGCGAAUUCCCAAGUAGGACGGGACACGUGAAACCCCGUCCGAAUCCGGGGGGCCCACCCCCCAAGCCUAAAUACUCGCUGGUGACCGAUAGUGAACAAGUACCGCGAGGGAAAGGUGAAAAGAACCGCUGUUAGCGGAGUGAAAGAGACCUGAAAUCGUGUGCCCACAAAGCUGUAGGAGCCCCGCAAGGGGUGACUGCUUGCCUUUUGCAUAAUGAGUCCGCGAGUCACGGCAGGCGGCGAGGUUAACCCCUGAUGGGGGGAAGCCGUAGCGAAAGCGAGUCCGAAAUGGGCGUUCUAGUCGUCUGCCGUGGACCCGAAGCCCGGUGAGCUACCCUUGGCCAGGUUGAAGCCUCGGUAACACGAGGUGGAGGACCGAACCGGUGUCCGUUGAAAAGGGCUCGGAUGAGCUGUGGGUGGGAGUGAAAGGCUUACCAAACCGGGUGAUAGCUGGUUCUCCUCGAAAUGCCUUUAGGGGCAGCCUUCGCGAUUGCACGCGACGGGGGUAGAGCACUGAAUGGUCUAGGGCCCCUACCGGGGUACCGAAGCCUCUCAAACUCCGAAUACCGUCGCCGUCACGCGGGGAGUGAGACUGUGGGGGCUAAGCUUCACAGUCGAAAGGGAAACAGCCCAGCCCGCCGGCUAAGGCCCCUGAAUCUGGUUAAGUCACUAAGGAUGUGGAGUCUCGGAGACAGCUAGGAUGUUGGCUUAGAGGCAGCCACCAUUUAAACAGUGCGUAAUAGCUGACUAGUCGAGAGAUUCCGCGCCGAAAAUGAUCGGGAGUCAAACCAGAUGCCGAAGCCGCGGAUUCCCCCUCCGGGGGGAUGGUAGAGGAGCGUUCCGCACGGGACGAAGCGCGAGGGGGACCGAGCGUGGACUGUGCGGAAGUGACUAUGCGGACAUGAGUAACGAAAAGUGGGGUGGGAAUCCCCACCGCCGGAAUUCCAAGGUUUCCCGGGGCAGGUUCGUCCGCCCGGGGUUAGUCGGUCCUAAGGCGAGGCCGAAGGGCGUAGUCGAAGGACAACGGGUUAAUAUUCCCGUACUGCCGGUGAGAGUUCGAGCGAUGGAGUCAGCAGGAGGCUGGCCCCGCGACCUGAUGGAUGGUCGUCCAAGCCCCUAGGGGGCCCGCGCAGGCAAAUCCGCGCGGGCAACCCUGAAGGGCGACGGUGAGCGCCCCCGCGAGGGGGCGCGAAGAGGGUGACGCCAGGCUGCCGAGAAAACCUCCUGGCAAUCGAGCCGGCAACCGUACCAAAACCGACACAGGUGGAAGGGUACUAGCAUACCAAGGCGCGCGAGAGAAACCUCGUUAAGGAACUCGGCAAAAUAACCCCGUAACCUAGGGAGAAGGGGUCCCCCGCGAGGGGGCGCAGUGAACGGGCCCAGGCGACUGUUUAACAAAAACACAGCACUCUGCAAACACGCAAGUGGACGUAUAGAGUGUGACACGUGACCAAUGCCGAAAGGUCAAGGCAAGGGGUUAGCCGCAAGGCGAGGCUCCGAACCAAAGCCCCGGUGAAUGUCGGCCGUAACUAUAACGGUCCUAAGGUAGCGAAAUUCCUUGUCGGGUAAGUUCCGACCUGC